rnacentral:rRNA from 1 species
UACGGGGGGGGUAAGCGUUGUUCGGAAUUACUGGGCGUAAAGGGCUCGUAGGCGGCCCACUAAGUCAUACGUGAAAUCCCUCAGCUUAACUGGGGAACUGCGUGUGAUACUGGAUGGCUUGGAUUUGGGAGAGGGAUGCGGAAUUCCAGGUGUAGCGGUGAAAUGCGUAGAUAUCAGGAGGAACACCGGUGGCGAAGGCGCUGCUCUGGGCCGGUACUGACGCUGAGGAGCGAAAGCGUGGGUAGCAAACAGG